rnacentral:tRNA from 1 species
AGGUUAAUUGUUGUCUUUAAAAAUAUUUAACUUUGAAAGUUAAUUGUGCUUUUAGCUA